rnacentral:tRNA from 1 species
GCCCGGUUAGCUCAGUCGGUAAAGCGAACUACUCUUAAUCCAACUGUCGUGGGUUCUAGCCCCACAUUGUGCG